rnacentral:rRNA from 1 species
CAUCUCAACGACGUGCCCGCGGGAGUGGGUGCUUCGCGCCGCGGCGCCCUCAACAACGACGACGUUCCCUACGGUAGCGGUACCGGCUUGCGCUGCCCCGACUCGUGGCCGCGAUAAUGCUGUCCCCCGGUACCAGACGCUCGAGUGUCCGGUCCCGCCGGUACCGAUGCUCGAGCUCUUAAAAACGAUGCCGGCCACCUUAAAAAACGACGCUGACCGUUUAAUUCCUACUCCUUGUUGUGCUCGAGAUGUUGCCCACGACGCCGGCCACUGCACUCCGAGGCGCUCGGCGCCCCC